CUGUAACACAGGUGUGGUUGUUCUCAGUUCUCCGUUGCGUACCUGUAGUUUGCACUGACCCUACUGCUUGACGGAAACUGAAAAUGAGUUUUGAUCUGUCUUCAGCUGUUGGAAGUGAUGAGAAGAUUGAGAAGCAAUCUGGCCAGGAAGUAAAUUCAUUCUUUGGAUUUGGAAAGAAGAAAGAUGAAAAAAAGCAUGAAACCAAAGACUGUGACAAGAAAGACAAAGACCAUUGCAAAGGAGAUAAAAAAGACAAGAAACACAAGGAACAUGGUGAAGGACACAAGAAGAAAAAAGACAAGAAGCAUAAGGAAGGUGGACAUGAGUCUGAUUCUUCCGGCUCGUCUUCCUCCAGUGAUGGCGAGGGAAAGGUAAUAUAGACCAGCUCACUGUGGAAGGAGCCCCGCUUCCUUAAGCGAAGGCUUAAACAGUUUUCACAAUUCUCAGAUUAUAUGUCCAUAUCUACUCCCAAAGUUUACUUUCAGAAUGGUAACAAAGAGAAUGCCAUGCUGGAAUGUAGGUGUUGUAAGAUCAGAUAAAAAAAGUCAGGAGAGAAGGUCAAACUGGUUCUAUAACCCUUGCAAUCAGAAGGCAUGGUUGCUGAUGGUAUCUGUACACAUGCCC
rnacentral:lncRNA from 1 species